CUACGGGAUGCACCAGUGAGGAAUAUUGCACAAUGGGGGGAACCCUGAUGCAGCAACGCCGCGUGGAGGAUGACGCGUUUCGGUGUGUAAACUCCUUUUAUAUGUCAAGAAAAUGACGGUAGCAUAUGAAUAAGCACCGGCUAACUCCGUGCCAGCAGCCGCGGUAAUACGGAGGGUGCAAGCGUUACUCGGAAUCACUGGGCGUAAAGGACGCGUAGGCGGGGUGGAAAGUCAGGUGUGAAAUCCUACAGCUUAACUGUAGAACUGCACUUGAAACUUCUAAUCUAGAGUAUGGGAGGGGGAGAUGGAAUUAGUGGUGUAGGGGUAAAAUCCGUAGAUAUCACUAGGAAUACCUAAAGCGAAGGCGAUCUCCUGGAACAUUACUGACGCUAAGGCGUGAAAGCGUGGGGAGCAAACAGGAUUAGAUACCCGGGUAGUC
rnacentral:rRNA from 1 species